GACGAACGCUGGCGGCGUGCCUAAUACAUGCAAGUAGAACGCACAGGAUGCACCGUAGUUUACUACACCGUAUUCUGUGAGUUGCGAACGGGUGAGUAACGCGUAGGUAACCUGCCUGGUAGCGGGGGAUAACUAUUGGAAACGAUAGCUAAUACCGCAUAAGAACAUUUACUGCAUGGUAGAUGUUUAAAAGGUGCAAAUGCAUCACUACCAGAUGGACCUGCGUUGUAUUAGCUAGUAGGUGAGGUAACGGCUCACCUAGGCGACGAUACAUAGCCGACCUGAGAGGGUGAUCGGCCACACUGGGACUGAGACACGGCCCAGACUCCUACGGGAGGCAGCAGUAGGGAAUCUUCGGCAAUGGGGGGAACCCUGACCGAGCAACGCCGCGUGAGUGAAGAAGGUUUUCGGAUCGUAAAGCUCUGUUGUUAAGGAAGAACGAGUGUGAGAAUGGAAAGUUCAUACUGUGACGGUACUUAACCAGAAAGGGACGGCUAACUACGUGCCAGCAGCCGCGGUAAUACGUAGGUCCCGAGCGUUGUCCGGAUUUAUUGGGCGUAAAGCGAGCGCAGGCGGUUAGAUAAGUCUGAAGUUAAAGGCAGUGGCUCAACCAUUGUAGGCUUUGGAAACUGUUUAACUUGAGUGCAGAAGGGGAGAGUGGAAUUCCAUGUGUAGCAGUGAAAUGCGUAGAUAUAUGGAGGAACACCGGUGGCGAAAGCGGCUCUCUGGUCUGUAACUGACGCUGAGGCUCGAAAGCGUGGGGAGCGAACAGG
rnacentral:rRNA from 1 species